AAUAGGCAAGUCAAUUUCAUUUUAAAAUUUAUAUUUUAUCACAUAAUUUUACUAUAAUACACAUUACUAUACUGACGCUUGCGAUAUUGGGCCACCUGUGUUUGUACUGACAUCGUCAAUCAACUUCGUACCCAGGGGUCCCCGUGUUUAAAGGUCCCAACUCGUGCACGAGGUUGAUCGUCAAUUUCCAUGCAGCACAGGUGCAUUUCUGUGCAGCACAAUCGCAUUUCCUUGCAGCACAGACGUGUUUCCAUGCAGCACAGUCGUGUUUCCAUGCAGCACAGUCGUGUUUCCAUGCAGCACAGUCGUGUUUCCAUGCAGCACAGUCGCAUUUCCUUGCAGCACAGUCGUGUUUCCAUGCAGCACAAUCGUGUUUUCAUGCAGCACAGUCGCAUUUCCUUGCAGCACAGUCGCGUUUCCAUGCAGCAGAGGUGGCCCUUAUCGGCCACCGUAAAUCACACAUUUU